rnacentral:rRNA from 1 species
AGAAGUAUCUUUUUAUUUAGUAUAUUAAAGAAAAAUUUAUGUUUGUUAUAGUAUAUUAGUACUGUGAAGGAACUGAUGAAAUAGUUUAAAAUUAAAUUUUUUAUAAGUAUGCUUAAUUUGCAGUACCUUUUGUAUCAGGGUUAAUUAAUUAGAUUAAUUUAUAUUUAUUUCUCGAUUUCAAAAGAGCUAAGUUAUUAUUUUAGUUAAUGUAACAUAAUUAUUUUUAAUAUAUUUUAGUAGAGAAAUUUUAUUCGUUUUUGAGGGUAUCUAGUUUUUUAAGAAUUAAAUUUAAUUUAAUUUUAUUAUUUAAAUAUAACAUUUUAUUUAUACUUUAUUUAGUAAAUUAAAAAUUAUAGGGGAUAAGCUCUAUAUUUUUCUAUAAAAAUUUUUGUUAAUAAAUUUUGGUAGGUUUAAGAUUAUCCAUCAUUAGAAAUUGUGUUAUAACUUAUUUUUGUUAUUAAUUAAUUUUAUUGUUUUUAGUAACUUAUUAAAAUACCAUAAUUAAUUUAUUAUUUUGGGAAAUAAUGGUUAAAUUAGUAUAAAUUAAUGUUUAUAAUAUUAUAAUUGUUAUGAUAAAAUAAGGAACUCGGCAAAUAAAGUUCUCGCCUGUUUAACAAAAACAUGGCCUUUUGUAUUUAAUUUAAGGUCUGACCUGCCCAGUGAUAAAUUUAACGGCCGCGGUAUCUUGACCGUGCAAAGGUAGCAUAAUCAUUAGUCUUUUAAUAGAGGGCUGGAAUGAACGGUUUAACGAGGGACUAGCUGUCUCAUUUUAUUUGUUUUAAAAUUUAAUUUUUUAGUUAAAAAGCUAAAAUUUUAUUGGUAGACGAGAAGACCCUAUAGAUCUUCAUAUAAUUUUUUGUAUUUAUUUUUAUAUUAACAUAAUUAUAUUAAAAUUUUAUUUUGUUGGGGUGACAAAAAUAUACAUAUAACUUUUUUAUUUAUUUACCAUUGAUAUAUGAGUAUUAGAUCCAUUAUUAUUGAUUGUUAGAAUAAGUUACCUUAGGGAUAACAGCGUAAUCCUCCUCCAGUGUUCAUAUUUACAGGAGGGCUUGCGACCUCGAUGUUGGAUUAAGAUAAUAAUUAGGUGUAGCCGCUUAAUUUAUAGGUCUGUUCGACCUUUAAAUUCUUACAUGAUCUGAGUUCAGACCGGUUUAAGCCAGGUCGGUUUCUAUCUCCAAUUUAAUUUAACUUUUAGUACGAAAGGACCAAAGUUGUGAAAUAAUUUUUUGAUUUUGAUUAACAUUAACUAUUUUGGCAGAAAAGUGCCAUGAAUUUAGAAUU